rnacentral:ncRNA from 2 species
UUCUUAUCAAGAGAGGUGGAGGGACUGGCCCUAAGAUACCUCGGCAGCAGACUUUGUAGUACUGUGCCAAUUCCAGCGAGCGAAUGCUUGAUAGAUAAGAA